AUUCCAGCUCCAAUAGCGUAUAUUAAAGUUGUUGCAGUUAAAAAGCUCGUAGUUGGAUUUCUGGCAGGAUGACUUUGCCCUCUGUAGAGUGCGCAAUGCUGUCCUACCAUCCUUCUGUUAACCCUGGAGGCCUUUAACAGCUUGUAGGGGGCUCAGAUAUUUUACCUUGAGAAAAUUAGAGUGUUUCAGGCAGGCUAGCGCCGGAAUACAUUAGCAUGGAAUAAUAGAAUAGGACUUAAGCCUCUUCUGUUGGUCUGAGUGGUGUAAGUAAUGAUUAAUAGGGAUGGUUGGGGGCAUUAGUACUUAACUGUCAGAGGUGAAAUUCUCGGAUUUGUUAAAGACUAACUUAUGCGAAAGCAUUUGCCAAGGAUGUUUUCAUUA
rnacentral:rRNA from 1 species